ACGCUGGCGGCAGGCCUAACACAUGCAAGUCGAGCGGUAGAGGGAAGCUUGCUUCUCUUGAGAGCGGCGGACGGGUGAGUAAUGCCUAGGAAUCUGCCUGGUAGUGGGGGAUAACGUCCGGAAACGGACGCUAAUACCGCAUACGUCCUACGGGAGAAAGCAGGGGACCUUCGGGCCUUGCGCUAUCAGAUGAGCCUAGGUCGGAUUAGCUAGUUGGUGGGGUAAUGGCUCACCAAGGCGACGAUCCGUAACUGGUCUGAGAGGAUGAUCAGUCACACUGGAACUGAGACACGGUCCAGACUCCUACGGGAGGCAGCAGUGGGGAAUAUUGGACAAUGGGCGAAAGCCUGAUCCAGCCAUGCCGCGUGUGUGAAGAAGGUCUUCGGAUUGUAAAGCACUUUAAGUUGGGAGGAAGGGCAGUAAAUUAAUACUUUGCUGUUUUGACGUUACCGACAGAAUAAGCACCGGCUAACUCUGUGCCAGCAGCCGCGGUAAUACAGAGGGUGCAAGCGUUAAUCGGAAUUACUGGGCGUAAAGCGCGCGUAGGUGGUUCGUUAAGUUGGAUGUGAAAUCCCCGGGCUCAACCUGGGAACUGCGUUCAAAACUGACGAGCUAGAGUAUGGUAGAGGGUGGUGGAAUUUCCUGUGUAGCGGUGAAAUGCGUAGAUAUAGGAAGGAACACCAGUGGCGAAGGCGACCACCUGGACUGAUACUGACACUGAGGUGCGAAAGCGUGGGGAGCAAAC
rnacentral:rRNA from 1 species